rnacentral:rRNA from 1 species
UACAGAGGCCCCAAGCGUUACUGAGAAUCACUGGGUUUAAAGGGUGCGUAGGUGGCGCGUUAAGUCCGUUGUGAAAGCCCUGGGCUCAACCCAGGAACUGCUUCGGAUACUGGCGCGCUUGAGGCUAGUAGAGGUCACUGGAACUGACGGUGGAGCGGUGAAAUGCGUAGAUAUCGUCAGGAACGCCAAUGGUGAAGACAGGUGACUGGGCUAGAUCUGACACUGAGGCACGAAAGCGUGGGGAUCAAACGGG